rnacentral:rRNA from 1 species
GUGGGCAAGUUCUGGUGUCAGCCGCCGCGGUAAAACCAGCACCUCAAGUGGUCAGGAUGAUUAUUGGGCCUAAAGCAUCCGUAGCCGGCGCUAUAAGUUUUCGGUUAAAUCUGUAUGCUCAACAUACAGGCUGCCGGGAAUACUGCAGCGCUAGGGAGUGGGAGAGGUAGACGGUACUCGGUAGGAAGGGGUAAAAUCCUUUGAUCUAUUGAUGACCACCUGUGGCGAAGGCGGUCUACCAGAACACGUCCGACGGUGAGGGAUGAAAGCUGGGGGAGCAAACCGGAUUAGAUACCCGGGUAGUCCCAGCUGUAAACCAUGCAAACUCAGUGAUGCAUUGGCUUGUGGCCAAUGCAGUGCUGCAGGGAAGCCGUUAAGUUUGCCGCCUGGGAAGUACGUACGCAAGUAUGAAACUUAAAGGAAUUGGCGGGGGAGCACCACAAGGGGUGAAGCCUGCGGUUCAAUUGGAGUCAACGCCAGAAA